AGUGAACGCUGGCGGCAUGCCUAACACAUGCAAGUCGAACGACCACACAGUAAGAUCUUUCCCUUACCGGUGGCGAGUGGCGGACGGGUGAGGCAUGCAUCGGAAUCUAAUUUUUCGGGGGGAAUAACGUGAAGCCGCUUACGCUAAUAGCUCAUACAAUCUACGGCUUGAAUCAAUGGAUCUUCGCAGUUUUCGCGACUCAAUGAGACGAUGCCGCAUUGGCUAGUUGGUGUGGUAAAGGCCCACCAAGGCAACGAUCCGUAGCCGAUCUGAGAGGGUGAUCAGCCACACUGGAACUGAGACACGGUCCAGACUCCUACGGGAGGCAGCAGUGGGGAAUAUUGCACAAUGGGCGAAAGCCUGACCGAGCCAUACCGCGUGAGUGAAGAAGGUCUUCGGGUUGUAAAACUCUGUUGUUAGGAAAGAAAAGAUGUAGAUGAAUCUAUGGAUGUUUUGACGGUAUCCAAAGAAAAAGCAACGGCUAACUUCGUG
rnacentral:rRNA from 1 species